AUACGUAGGGGGCGAGCGUUGUCCGGAAUGACUGGGCGUAAAGGGCGUGUAGGCGGCUUUAUAAGUCUGGAGUGAAAGUCCUGCUUUCAAGGUGGGAAUUGCUUUGGAGACUGUAGAGCUUGAGUGCGGAAGAGGUAAGUGGAAUUCCCAGUGUAGCGGUGAAAUGCGUAGAGAUUGGGAGGAACACCGGUGGCGAAAGCGGCGCACUGGACCACAACUGACGCUGAGGCGCGAAAGCGAGGGGAGCAAACAGGAUUAGAUACCCUGGUAGUCCUAGCCCUAACCUAUGGGUGCUUGGUGUGAUCGGUACCCAAUCCGAUCGUGCCGUAGCUAACGCGUUAAGCAUCCCGCCUGGGGAGUACGGUCGCAAGGCUGAAACUCAAAUGAAUUGACGG
rnacentral:rRNA from 1 species